rnacentral:rRNA from 1 species
AUGAUGGGAAUUUAAACCUCUUCCAGAGUAUCAAUUGGAGGGCAAGUCUGGUGCCAGCAGCCGCGGUAAUUCCAGCUCCAAUAGCGUAUAUUAAAAUUGUUGCAGUUAAAAAGCUCGUAGUUGAAUUUCUGCUGCAUUACAUAUCUCUUGUUUGAGUUUGUUUUUGUGGCUUAUUUCGGUUUGAUUUUUUCUUUCCGGAUGAUUACUUUGAGAAAAUUAGAGUGCUCAAAGCAGGCUUUUGCCUUGAAUAGUUUAGCAUGGAAUAAUAAAGUAGGACUUUGGUUCUAUUUUGUUGGUUUUAGGUACCAAAGUAAUGGUUAAUAGGAACAGUUGGGGGCAUUCGUAUUUAACUGUCAGAGGUGAAAUUCUUAGA